rnacentral:rRNA from 1 species
GGCGUUGGCCGCCGGACAAUCGACCUUCGGUCUAUUACUUCCAAGGUUGACCUCGGAUCAGGUAGGGAUACCCGCUGAACUUAAGCAUAUCA